rnacentral:rRNA from 1 species
AUUGAACACUGGCGGCAGGCCUAACACAUGCAAGUCGAACGAGUGGCGGACGGGUGAGUAAUGUCUGGGAAACUGCCCGAUGGAGGGGGCUAACUACUGGAACCGGUAGCUAAUACCGCAUACCAUCGGAUGUGCCCAGAUGGGAUUAGCUAGUGGGGGGGGUAAAGGCCCACCAAGGCGACGCUCCCUAGCUGGUCUGAGAGGAUGACCAGCCACACGGGAACUGAGACACGGUCCAGACUCCUACGGGAGGCAGCAGUAGGGAAUAUUGCACAAUGGGCGCAAGCCUGAUGCAGCCAAGCCGCGUGUAUGAAGAAGGCCUUCGGGUUGUAAAGUACUUUCAGCGGGGAGGCGUUACCCGCAGAAGAAGCACCGGCUAACUCCGUGCCAGCAGCCGCGGUAAUUC